AGGAUAAACAAAUUACUUCGUUUUUGGAAGUUAAAAAUCGUAACAAGGUCUCCGUWGGUGAGWMCAGCGGAGGGAUCAUUACCGAAGUUACUCUUCAUACCCUUUUGUGAACACUACCCCAUUGCCGCGCGUUGCCUCGGCGGGGAGGUCCGCGGGGUUGCGCUCCGGCGCUCCCCCCGGGCCCCCGCCGGCCGCGCCGAACUCUUCAUUUGCAAAGCGGACUGUAUGUUCUGAUUAUAUCUUGAAAAACAAGUCAAAACUUUCAACAACGGAUCUCUUGGUUCUGGCAUCGAUGAAGAACGCAGCGAAAUGCGAUAAGUAAUGUGAAUUGCAGAAUUCAGUGAAUCAUCGAAUCUUUGAACGCACAUUGCGCCCGGCAGCAAUCUGCCGGGCAUGCCUGUCCGAGCGUCAUUUCUGCCCUCGAGCGCGGUUCGGCCCCUAGCGGGCCGUCCGCCGCCCGGUGUUGGGGCGCUGCGGGCCCUCGUGCCCGCAGGCCCUGAAAUGAAGUGGCGGUCCCGCCGCGGCGCCCCCUGCGUAGUAGUAAAGCACCUCGCAUCGGGUCCCGGCGGAGGCCAGCCGUCGAACCUCUUUCUCUUGAUGGUUUGACCUCGGAUCAGGUAGGGUUACCCGCUGAACUUAAGCAUAUCAAUAA
rnacentral:sRNA from 1 species